rnacentral:rRNA from 1 species
UGCCAGACUCCUACGGGAGGCAGCAGUGGGGAAUAUUGCACAAUGGGGGAAACCCUGAUGCAGCGACGCCGCGUGAGUGAAGAAGUAUCUCGGUACGUAAAGCUCUAUCAGCAGGGAAGAAAAUGACGGUACCUGAAGAAGAAGCCCCGGCUAACUACGUGCCAGCAGCCGCGGUAAUACGUAGGGGGCAAGCGUUAUCCGGAUUUACUGGGUGUAAAGGGGGCGCAGACGGCGAUGCAAGCCAGGAGUGAAAGCCCGGGGCCCAACCCCGGGACUGCUCUUGGAACUGCGUGGCUGGAGUGCAGGAGGGGCAGGCGGAAUUCCUGGCGUAGCGGUGAAAUGCGUAGAUAUCAGGAGGAACACCGGUGGCGAAGGCGGCCUGCUGGACUGCAACUGACGUUGAGGCCCGAAAGCGUGGGGAGCAAACAGGAUUAGAUACCCUCGUACAC